AGCCCCACUGGCACCCCACUGCUCCAGCUGGCACCCACUCUGCUUCCUGUCUCUAUGGAUUUGCCUGGCUGGACACUUCACAUAAGUGGAUUCAUUCCUUCUCGUGGCUGAAUCCUCUUCCAUUCUGUGGGUAGACCGCGCUGAGUUUAGCCAUCCGUCAGUUGGAUGAGUGGUGCCGCCACGAACCUCUGUGGACAAGUCUUGGUUUGGACACGUGUGUUCACUCCUGCCAUUCUUCAGCUGAGCGUCUGGGCUGGUGGUCCUGUGCCCGGCCGCCAGGCCACAAAAGGGUGCUUGCUUCCCUUAUGCCCCGGGGAUCUUGGCACCUACUGCCCAAGCCCAGCCCUUAGCCCCCUGGCCGCCGCCCUCUGCAGGUGGCUGAGAUCUGCGUUGAAAUGGAGCUGCGGGACGAGAUUCUGCCCAGAGCCCAGAACAUCCAGAGCCGCCUGGACCGACAGACCAUUGAGACAGAGGAGGUGAACAAGACUCUGAAGGCGACACUGCAGGCCCUGCUGGAGGUGGUGGCCUCGGAUGACGGGGAUGUGCUUGAUUC
rnacentral:lncRNA from 10 species